UGAGGAAUAUUGGACAAUGGGCGCAAGCCUGAUCCAGCCAUGCCGCGUGCAGGAUGACGGUCCUAUGGAUUGUAAACUGCUUUUGUACAGGAAGAAACAGUUCUACGUGUAGAACCUUGGCGGUACUGUAAGAAUAAGGAUCGGCUAACUCCGUGCCAGCAGCCGCGGUAAUACGGAGGAUCCAAGCGUUAUCCGGAAUCAUUGGGUUUAAAGGGUCCGUAGGCGGUUAGAUAAGUCAGUGGUGAAAGCCCAUCGCUCAACGGUGGAACGGCCAUUGAUACUGUCUGACUUGAAUUAUUAGGAAGUAACUAGAAUAUGUAGUGUAGCGGUGAAAUGCUUAGAGAUUACAUGGAAUACCAAUUGCGAAGGCAGGUUACUACUAAUGGAUUGACGCUGAUGGACGAAAGCGUGGGUAGCGAACAGGAUUAGAUACCCUGGUAGUCCCUGAGCGGGCUGGCAAGGCGCAU
rnacentral:rRNA from 1 species